UUUCCGUAGGUGAACCUGCGGAAGGAUCAUUCAUAAUAAAGUGUUUUAUGGCACUUUUUAAAAAUCCAUAUCCACCUUGUGUGCAAUGUUAGAUCUCGUCAAUCUUGGCGAGAUUUUUAUACAUCAACUCAUUCUUUAACUAAUUUGUCUGAAAAAUAUUAUGAAUACUUAAUUCAAAAUACAACUUUCAACAACGGAUCUCUUGGCUCUCGCAUCGAUGAAAAACGCAGC
rnacentral:misc_RNA from 1 species